rnacentral:lncRNA from 1 species
CCACUGUACCUUUAGAUUUAGGGAAAACUUCAAAAACCCCUCUUGUCACUACAACGAAAACGGUCUAUAGCGACACUUUUAAAUAUAGGUACAUGUUAAAAAAGUGCUGCUCGCUAAAAUUACCGACACUUUUAAAAAGUGUUGCUAUAUGUGGGGUCGCUAGGUAUAUAGUGACAGUUAAAGAGUGUCGCUAUANGGUUAAAAAUAUAUAUAUAUAUAUACAGAACUUAUCUGAAUUACGAAUUACUUUAAGUUGGCGAUCCAAUCUAAUCUUUCAAUUUGUUUGAUAUGAGCUGGUUAACAGCACUUUGACUUUAAAAUUUAAGUUAACUGUUUAUUCAAUAAAUUUAUAGUUAUAAAUAUUGUAUGAAGUAUAUCAACUAAAUAUGUAAAGAUACAUAACGCUUUUAAAUUUUGCAAUCAAAGUGUCGCUAAGUUACUCAAACAAACUGAAAUAUAAGUUCCACGCCUUUUUACCCUCUUUUUAAAGUAAUUUUCUCUAGUUUUUUUAUUUUUCUUGAGAUUUAACCAUGUUUAAAAUCAACAAUGCUGGGGUCGCAUUUGGCAUGAUGAAGUAAAUCUCACGGGUAAGGUAAAUGCACUUUAAAUGCAGCUACUAUUUAUUCACCAAUUUUUUAGCAUUAAAGCAAUAAAUGAUAAAUCAUUUAUUUCUUUUUAUCUUACAAACUAAAUUUAAACUACACGCUUCUAAUUUAUCUACGGGGCAUGAAGAUUGAAUAGUUAAGUAAAUUUUUAGGUUUAAUUAUAACUCCGUGCUUUAAAUAUUUUUCUGUAUUAAAAAUUUAAACAAUAUUUUUUCUGCAUUUUAGUUUUGUCUAGAAUUNGGGGGGACUUUUCAAUGGCAUGAAAUGAAUUGUAGCAAUGAUUUCGUUUUUCUAAGUUCGACAAAUCUUAUUCAACGGAGUCUUUUCAUCAACUCUUGAACAUGUUUGAAUUUGUAUGAACCUGUUGUUCUAAAAUUCCAAAAUCAUCAGAAAGUGACCAUGUGUUGAUAAACUAUAGACAUUUUGAACUAAGCACAUGGCAAUGGUUCCUCAACAGCAACUCUAAUCAAUAUUUCUGCUGUUAAAAGAAAUGUUAAAACAUUAUGAUACAACAGCUCAAGCAUUCUGAGACAAACAACUAUUUCAUAUGGAGUAGGAGGUCCUAUGUUUGAAUUCCAUCUGCCUCCCUAGUUUUUUCUCACUACCAUUUCUAUUUAAUUCAAGUCCAUAUCUUGUGACAUCCCUAGAAUUUGGAAUAAUACUAUAUAUGAGAUAUAAUAGGGUUAAAAACCUCUUAAUCCUAGCUAUAGCAUUUUGGGUGGUGGUGUUAGGCUCAUAAGGUUAAAAGAGUUAAGCGUGCUAGAGUUAGAGUAGUCCUAGGAUGGGUGAUCUUCUGGGAAGUGGUGCGUCACAUGCCUUGAAUCUAUCAAACAAUCUUGAAUCUAGACUGGUGGACAUUUGAAUAGAAAUAUCAAAACAUUGUUUUUUGCUGGUUUAGGCUUUUGGCUAUAAACCAUUUUUUUCACACAGCACGAAAUAUAAAAUACUUAAAUAUUGUUCUCUAACUGUUUAAGCCUUCAGAGACGAGUAAACUCUUGUUUCGCAUGGUAGGAUUCAAAUCUUCAUAAUUUAUGAUAAAGAAACAACUCUCUUUGGUCCUCAUCAUUUACUGCAGCAAUCUGAAUACACUAGCUGCUAAAUCAUGGGCGCUAGUGGACAAUCCGUCCUAUACUGCAAAUGUAAAAAUAUUUUAAAAAUAAUUUUUUAUUUAUAUUUUACAUUUUUUAUAUAAUUUAGAUUAGACCAUAUGUGAUCUAAACUUUUGACAUUUUCCACCCAUGUGCUUCAAUGCUUUUAUCAGCUCAGCAUUUGAACUUUUGAAGGUGUGUCUUCCUUUUUUUUGGUGGAAAGGAGUGCAAUAAAUGUGACAACUAACUUUGUUUUUCCAAGGUUGAAUUUCUAAAAUUUCUGAUGGCAGUUCAUGUAAGUAGUUGGUUUUUUAUCAAAUUAGCUUCAUUUCUAUUCGAUGUCACUUUCAUUCUUAGAAAUUAACAAUACUUCUCGCUAAUUUAUUCCAAAAGUGGUGAUGACUGCAUUUAGUUCCACUGUUCCUUACAUAUGUUAUGUUGCUGCAAUUUACAGAGAGGGUCGGAGAACAAGAUUAUAUUGUUUUAUUAUGCAGGAAAACAAGUUCCAAACAAAUUGGGCAUAUUUGGAUGUCUGAAUAAGUUGUCUAAUAAUAAUAACUUUGUAUUAUGAAAACUUUCUUGUGUCAUUGUAAUAUAGGAGUUAUGGUUUUAGGUUAUAUAAGGUUCUGUGAUUUUCUAUGAUUAUCAUGCGAUUUAAAUAAAUGACGUAGGGACUGCAUAUAGUGUUAUAUCAUUGAAAACUUCUGAUCAUUCUACUUAUCAUUUACUUUAAAAAAAUCGUUUUGAUAUUCAGUUUAUAAGAGAGUUGCAUAUGGCAACACCAGCAAUAGCAGCAGAUGUCAGCAGCGGAAGUGGAAAUUUAGGAUAGGGAAGAAAUGAAAGUGCUGCUAGCUUUUAUGAAAAAAAAAAAUGUGAUGAUGAAUUAAAACAAGGCAACGGAAGGAGGAGGAUUAGAAGGGAGGGAAAGAGACCAAGAAUAUUACAGUUUGGGCAAAUGACAGUAGUGAAAACCAAAACUGCCUACCUAACUUGUGAUUUUGUAGUCCACUUCGUAGUUUGUUGCGUCUGCUAUUUCUGCUGUUAGUUCCUAUAGUUCUUCUUCACUUUCUCCUAUUAUUUUUCUGCUUUUGGUGCUGUUGGUGAAAAGCAAGGAAAGACUUUGAUUUGUAGCUGAAUACUUAUAUUGCGGCGCGAGAUGUUCACACUGCGCUUUUCUUCACGUUGUUAUUACGCGCAAAUGAUUGUUGGCCAGAAUUUGAGCAUAAUUUAUGCAAUAAAUAAUGUUUACGAAUACUUUAUUUUCUAAAUUAUAUGAAGAAAAUGUUCUAAAGAACGAGCGACGUGUGGAGUUUGUUAAUUUUCCUGCACAGCUGCGAUGGAUGCUUGCUUGCUUGUGUCCGACUCACAUUUUUUCCAAUUUGGUUGGCUACUUGGUAUUCUAUUUGUGCUAAAGUUUGCACUCUCUUUCUUUUCUUUUCGGUUUUCUUACCUUUGUGUUCGAUUAUUGCUAUUUGUUCUCGCCCUUUUGUUCGGCGUUUUCUUUAGUUCUUUCUUUGGUUUUCACUCUUCUACUUUUCUUUUGCAGAAGACCUACUACUAAGUUGGUAGGGGAUUUCCUCCUUAAUUUUCUUAUACUUUUUCCUCCUGAUUUUUCUAUGGUGCUGUUAUUUAUGACCUACCUUUAUCUGCUGCCACUUUUAUUACUGCUAUUGUUACUACGGCAGCCGCUGUUUCUUCUUCGUUGGCUACUAGUUUUCUUGCUCUUCUGCUACUCUUUUGUGUUGCUAUUCUUUCUCUUCGUUGGCUACUAGUUUUCUUUCUUUUGAGCUGCAAGACUCAGUCCACUCCCUUUCCAAGUCUCUUCUGCCGCUCACAAAGGGCGUCAGCGAAAGAUUUGACCAAGGUCGCAAUUUGUUGGUGGAAAAUCUGGUGGGAAAGAAAUAACGUGAUUUUUAGAAACCAUUCUUCUGAUCCCCUAAUCAUGGUUAGACGAGCUCGAGACUUGGAAAGGGAGUGGACUGAGUCUUGCAGUAGUAAGUGAACUCUUUUUUAGUCUUUUAAUUUUAUUUACUUAUUUUAUUUUAUUUUAUUUUUCUAAGUUUUUUUUUUAUCAUUUAUUUUUAUUUUUCAGUAUGGUGGCCUGUAUCUUAUUCGAGGUUGAGUUGCCUCAACUUCUGUAGCUGAAUUCAUUUUCUAUAUGAAUGAAGUGGGUAGUGUGUUACAUUUCUUUCAAGAAAAUUCUUUCUGUUACUGUUCUACCUCUUAUUUAUUGAAAAUUCUCACAUUCAAUUCAUUGUCUGUUAUUUCUUGGAUCACUUCGUAUGUACCAUUUUAAUUGGGUGAAAUAGAAGAGGCACUUUUAUAUAUAAUCUUAAGAAAAUUAUUAAGAGUAUUCUUGUGUAAUUAUAUACAUGCCAUAUAAGUAGAGAGUUGGAAGAACAUGCCUUACUCUAAGGUUCCCCAACUUUCCUUUAGGGCGUGUUAGGUUCGCUUUUCUUUCACUAAAAAAUCGGAAUCAGAAUGGUUGAAUCCGUUUGUAGGUGUUUGGUAUGCGGUAGUCUAAUUUCGAUUUCGAUCUUCGAGUUGAAUGGAAAUUUUUUAAUCACCUUUUUUUCCAAUCCGGUCUAGGAGGCCGGAUUGGAAGUUGAAUCCGGACGGAAUAGAUAUUUAUUCGGAUUAAAUUUACUUUUUCAACUUUUUUAAUUAAAAUAUGAGUUUAAAUUUAUAAUUUAUAAUUUUAAUUUGAAUUUGAAUUAAAAAUUAAAAUUUAAUCAAGUAUUUUGAAUCUAACUUAUAAAUUUAAAUUUAAAUUAAAUUUUAAUUUAUAUAAAGUUUUAUUCAAAUUUUAUUAAAAAUUUAAAUUAAAUUUAUGGAUUCAAUUAAAUUGUAAUUUUAAGUUUGAAUUCGAAUAAGUUGAAAUAUAUUUUUAUAUUUUGAAUUAUAAUAUCAAUUUAAAUUAAAAUUUUAUUUUAAUAAAAAAUAUAUAUUAAUUUGAUUACGUUUUUUAUUUCUAUCUGAACCAAACAUCGACAAUAGGAAUGAUAUUUAGAUAACGAACCAAACAGAAUUAGAUAAUGAGUNUUGUAAAAUAAAAAAUGUUCACUUCACUUCAUGCCGUUAGUAAACAGUUAAGGUUCCGUUUAUAAAAUAUUAUUAUAUAUUUUUUUAUGUCAAAAAUAUCCUCAGUCUUCUCUUCUGUGAACAUGAUAAGAGGCAAAAUAGUGAGAGGCAAAAUAAUCAUUUUGUCAUCACAGUUCACACCGUACUUUCCUGCGAAUAUUUUUUAUUUUACAAAGGGACAAAAUAUAGAUUUUUAAAUAACAAAAAAUUAAAAAAUUAAAUUUUGACAUAAAAUUUUUUUAUAAUUUAGCCAAAUUUUAAAUAUCAACUAUUAAAAUUUUUAUCAGUUGCCUUAGUAACUGUGGAUCUCUCAAGGCAAAGUUAAUGCAUGUCUGUCCUCUUGCCUCCCUUUAUUUAGCUAUAGCCCACACGUUUGCGGGUGCCACAAAAGUGUGACUUUAUAUAUGUGGCAUUUAUUUAUUUGACCACACACCUCUCAUCUCUACAAGAUUUUUUUUUUUCCCCUUUUGUGGCCAUUGUAAUAUUGAAUAGCUAACAGGUUAAUCAUAGGACAUAUUUGAUUUAUAGUAUUUUUUAACGUGUUCAAAAAUAAAACAUUGAAAUUAUAAAAUUUCAUACUUAUUUGGGAAAAUUUCAAAUAUCCUUUUGUGGUUUCACUCUUUCUCACUUUAGUAUCCUGUGGUUUAAAGUGUAUCAAGCUCGUACCCUGUGAUUUCGUAUUUUCUUAUUUUAGUACCCUGUGGUUUAAAGUGUAUCAAGUUAGUACCUUGUUGUUUCGCACUUUCUCACUUUAGUAUCCUGUGGUUUAAUAUUUUAUUAAGAGAAAAAUAAAACCACAGGAUACUAACUUGAUGCAAAAAUAAAACCAUAGGGUACUAAUUUGAUACAAAAAUAAACCAUAGAGUACUAACUUGGUACAUUUUAAACCACAGGGUACUAAAGUGAGAAAGUGCGAAACUACAGGGUACUAACUUGAUACACUUGAAACAACAUGGUACUAAAAUAAAAAAGUGCGAAACUACGGAGGGUUUUUGAAGUUUUCCCUACUUAUUUCUAAAAACUUUAAAUAUCCUAGAUCAGUUUUAACAGUGCGGAUCGUUGAUUUGAACACCCUAAAAUCGAAAAUGAGACUAUAGUACUGGAGACCCGGUACUGUAGAUAGUAUAGGAGACUAGCUCUCUCUCUCUCUCUCUCUCUCUCUCUCUCUAUAUAUAUAUAUAUAGGCUGCGUUUGGUUGGAGGGAUAUCCCAGAACAAUGAGGGAUAUCCCUCCAAACACAAUGCAAUUUGGAACAACCGGGUUGUUCCCGGAACAACCCGUUAAGCCGGGAACAACCCGGUAAGCUUGUUCUCCCUAAAAGGGAGAACAAGCCGGAACAAGAGAUUUGGGCUUUUUUUUUUNACCAAGAAAAAAAGAUAAAGCUUCAAAUACCAUCAUUUAAAGUGUAUCAAUUUAGUACCCUAUAAUUUUAUUUUUCUAUUUUUAUUAUUUUUUUCACUUUUUUUUUGUUGAGUUAAUAAUAAAGUUAAACUAAAAAGUACAAAAGUGAAUAUUUGAUAAACCUAGGUAGGGUUUCAAAAGGUUUUUGUAUAAAAUAAAAUCAGAGGGUAUUAAAUUGAUACACUUUAAAUUAUAUGGUAUUAAAGUGAGAAAGUGAGAAACGAUAGGGGUGGUAUUUGAAGUUUAUUCAAAAAAACAGAACAAGAAAAUAAAAACUUAGUUAAGCAUGCUCAAAACCAGGGUUUUUUUUGCAAAUAGCUCCCUGAUCAAUUUUUAUUUUCAAUAUAGCCCUAUCAAAAUUAAAAUUACAAAAAUGACCCUGUUUCUGCUACGCAGGCGCUACGUCAGCGCCACGCGGGCAAAGCUAGGGCCAGGGUAUUAAGCCCGCUGGGGCAGGGUAUUAAGUUGAACACAGUGAAUAAUUCGCGGUGUCUAAACACGGUGAAUGGUUCACCGUGUUUCUUACGUAUUUUUUGUAUAUUGAAAAGUGGAAUAAGGAGUAGGGAUGUCAAUAGGUAUGGAUAUUCGAAAUAUUAUCCGAAUCCAAACCCGAAUAAAUUAUAUAUAUACGUAAUUUAUUUUUGUUUAUUUAUACAAUAUAUAAAAUAUUUAAUAAUUUAUAUUCCUUAGAUCUUCAUCCAACGGUAUAGANUAUAUAUAAAAUUUAUUCGGGUUUAAAUUCAGAUAAUAUUUCGAAUAUCCAUACCUAUUGACAUCCCUACUUCUUAUUCCACUUUUCAAUAUACAAAAAAUACGCAACAAAAAAUACGUAUUAAACAUGGUGAACCAUUCACCGUGUUUGAACAUGGUGAAUGGUUCACCGUGUUCAACUUAACACACGGGCCAAGCCCUGCCCGUGUGGCGCUGCGUGGCAAGUGCAGGGCCAUUUUUGCAAAUUAAAUUUUGACAGGGCUAUUUUUAAAAUAAAAAUUUGUCAGGGAUCUAAAUGCAAAAAAAGCCCUAUUCCAUUGUAACCGUCAGAUUCAUUGAUGGGCCAAAAUCAACAAGACGACGAUUGGGGAUCAUACGGUCCCACGGUGACAAAGGAGGCAAAAUUUUGCUGUCCAAUUUGUCGUCUGAGAGGAAGAUGGUGUUCAUCUCCUUGUUUUUUUCUUCUUUUUGUUCCUUUUUUUUUUUUUNNNNNNNNNNNNNNNNNNNNNNNNNNNNNNNNNNNNNNNNNNNNNNNNNNNNNNNNNNNNNNNNNNNNNNNNNNNNNNNNNNNNNNNNNNNNNNNNNNNNNNNNNNNNNNNNNNNNNNNNNNNNNNNNNNNNNNNNNNNNNNNNNNNNNNNNNNNNNNNNNNNNNNNNNNNNNNNNNNNNNNNNNNNNNNNNNNNNNNNNNNNNNNNNNNNNNNNNNNNNNNNNNNNNNNNNNNNNNNNNNNNNNNNNNNNNNNNNNNNNNNNNNNNNNNNNNNNNNNNNNNNNNNNNNNNNNNNNNNNNNNNNNNNNNNNNNNNNNNNNNNNNNNNNNNNNNNNNNNNNNNNNNNNNNNNNNNNNNNNNNNNNNNNNNNNNNNNNNNNNNNNNNNNNNNNNNNNNNNNNNNNNNNNNNNNNNNNNNNNNNNNNNNNNNNNNNNNNNNNNNNNNNNNNNNNNNNNNNNNNNNNNNNNNNNNNNNNNNNNNNNNNNNNNNNNNNNNNNNNNNNNNNNNNNNNNNNNNNNNNNNNNNNNNNNNNNNNNNNNNNNNNNNNNNNNNNNNNNNNNNNNNNNNNNNNNNNNNNNNNNNNNNNNNNNNNNNNNUAUAUAUGUAUAUAUGUGUAUAUAUAUAUAUAUAUAUAUAUAUAUAUAUAUAUAUAUAUAUAGUUGAGAUAGAAUACUCUCAAAAGCACAAAGGGGUGGUGCUUUUGAGUUUUUAACCAUUGGAUGGAGAGAUGUAUGGUUGGGAUGAUGGUGGUAGGUGGUGGUAGGUGGAAUAGUGUUUAAUUUAAGAACUAUUAGUAAUUAAGGAGUAGAUCGAAGGACUAGAAACCAUAGUUAGUUAAUUCGGAUUCGGCAAAAUUCGGUACGGGUAUAAUUCGGAUAAAAUUCGUCUUCUAAUUAUUAAAUUCGUUGAAAAAUACGGCUAAAAAACGGAUUCGGUUAUUAUUCGGAUACGUGAUUUAUACGGGUAUUAUACGUUUAUCAAUUAAAAAUUUGGGAUACAAAAUUUGGCUAUAUAAUAAAUAUAUAAUAAUUAAUAUACUAUAUAUAUUUUUUUUAUAAUUUUUUAUAUAGAUUAAAUAUAUUCAAAGUUAUAAUAAAUAUAUAUUAAUAAUAUAUAAAAGUUAUGUAUUUAGAAAUAUUAAUAAAUAAUUAUAAAUAUAUAAAUAAAAUAUUAUAUAUAAUAAAUAAAAUAUAUUUAUAAAUAACAUUAUAAAUUAUAUAUUAUAUAUAGUAUUAUAAAUAUAUUAUAUAUUAUAUAUAUAUAUAUAUAUGAUUAUGGGGUUGAGUCACAAUGGAACCUCCUCUGAUGUGUUCACGAGCACAAAUAGGCUCAAUAUGGACCGCGCACAAACUGUAUCAUAAGCCCUCAUAUUUUUUUAUGUCCUUUCCAUCUUUCUGGCGAACGAGCAUUGCGCCUGCGAUGUUGCUCCGCCCGCCCGCAGAGUCGUGGAGGAGGAAAAUGAAUAUCGGAAGAGUUCUAUGCGAGACGGCUAUGACGAGACCUUUGGCCGCAAUCCAAACACGAGCGCCGCUAGCCACUACGCGCGACGAGCCGACCUUCGGACCCGAAUCCGCAACCGCGAACGCCGUUUUGGUCCGAAUUCAUUCGGCGAAAUCGCGAAUAAUUCCCGCAACACUUUUUUUGACGAAAACAUCGCAUAUUUAUUUCGAACUUUCGAAAAAAUACGGAAGACGCGUUUAUUCGUAUUUUAAAGAUUCGCGAUAUUCGGUUUUAAUCCCGAAUUAAUAAUCUAAUGCUAAAACUAGACAGCACAAGGAAUUGGUGUUUUAAAGUAUUAUCAGAGACGAAUUUAUAUAGUAUUAUAUAUAUAUAGUUAUAUUAGGAAGAGAGAGAAGAGAGAGAGUAAGAGAAGAAUAGGAGAUGGAAAGAGAGAUAUAGAUGAGAGAAGGAGGAGGCCUACUAUACAUCGAAAGAACGGAGCUUAUCCGGUAGCUUCCAACUCCGUCUUUCGAUGUUGCAUUUUCGAAUCGUCAUCGGCUUCGGUUAACUUGAUUCUAGAGUAUUUGAGGGUAUCUAAGAAUAAAUGAUGAUUUACGAUAUCAUUAUGCCUAUUAAUGAAGAGCUCGAAGAUAACGCUGAAAAUAAAAAAUCGUUACAAAAUAUAAUAAUAUGCAUAUAAAAUUUUAAAUCAAAUGAUUUGAUCUUAUUUUAUUUAAGUAUAAAGAAUUCAUAUCUAUCAAAAUUUACAAAUUUGAAUAAUUUUUACACCUAAAAUUGCAAAGGUCUCUAACGAGUCAGUUGAAUUUCGUUAAUUUAGCUCAUUCGUCACUAGGCAAAAUAAAUAUCGAAAAAUUAAUAAAUUAUGUUUUAGGUACUCAAAUACUUAAAUUAAGUUAACGAGUAGAUCGCGAUCGAAAGUGAUCAUCGAAACAGCUGGAAUAUUAUAUAUUAUAUAUAUAUAUAUAAUAUAUACUAUAUAUAUAUAAUAAUAUUUAUAUUAUAUAUAUAAUCUAAGAAAAAUUAUUAAGGUAUNAAUGAAUGAGGGAGACCUCGUGGACCACGUGUAAGCGCAGCCCAGCACUGCAAUUUUUCGUUUUCCGGUCGAAGCAGCGGAAACGAAACCCUUCAUUUUCUGAGGAUAUGUAAGAAAAAAAUUUUACAGACAACCAAACAACAACCAAACAAUAGAAAAUAUUUUUUCAACGAAAUUUUUUUUUUCGGAGCGGUUUUAUGAGAAUCCAAAUACACCCUAAGUAGGUUGGGGAUUUUCUCCUUCAAUUUUUUCAACUUUUUUUCUUCUUUUUUUUUUUUUGAGAGAGAGAUAAUACGCUACCCGCUUCGCUUAUUUCAUUUAGAAAUAAACUUAGCUGGAAAUAUAAAUCAACUAGGGUUCGAAUUUAGAAUCUCGGGCACCAACCGCCAAGCCUUUUGCCACUUGCUCUAGAAACGGUCAGUAAUUUUUUCAACUUUCUCCUCCUGAUUUGAUUUUUCUACGGUGCUGUUAUUUAUGACCUACCUUUAUUUGUUGCCGCUUUUAUUACUGCUAUUGUUACUAUUGCAGUUGUCGUUUCCUCUUUGUUGGCUACUACUUUUCUUCCUCUUUUGCUAUUCUUUUGUGUCGCUAUUAUUUCUGUUACUGUUCUGCCUUUUAUUUAUUAAAAAUUCUCACAUUCAAUACAUUUUCUGCUAUUUCUUGGCUCACUUAGUAUAUACCAUUUUAAUCGAGCGAAACAGAAGAGAAACUUUUAUAUAUAAUCUAAGAAAAUUAUUAAAAGAGUACUCUAGUCUAACUAUAUAUACAUGCAUAUAGGUAGAGAGUUGGAAGAACAUGCGUCGCUGUAAGGUCCCCUAACUUUCCUUUUGUAGAACAAAACAGAAUUGGUGCAUUGUACCUUUAAGGCACCGUUUGGUUUGGGAAUAGGGAUAGGGAUAGGCCCUUAUCCCCCCUUUAUACCCAAACGCUAAUUUUUUAUCCGAGAAUAGUAAUUCUCGCUUAUCCCCACCAACACCUCCAUUUUCUAUAUAAAACUUUCUAAUAUUUUUCUUAUCCUCGAGAACAACUCAAUUUUCAUCCAAACGCUAUUUUUCUUAUCCCCAUACUUGUACCUAUUCCUGUAAUAGCUAGUUCUUGCUUAUCCCCGAACCAAACGGUACCUUAGAUUUAUUGUUGGCCCAGAACAAAGAAGAGAACAAUUGGGGAUCAUACUCCACAAUGACAAUGAAGGCAAAAUUUUGCUGUCCAAUUUGUCCCUGUCUAAGAGGAAGAAGGUUUUCCAUCUCCUUGUUUUUUUUUUUUUUUUUUCUUUUUGUUCUUUCUUAUUGUUAUUUUUUUUAUCCUUUUGAGUAGAUAAGUUGGCGAUCCAAUCUAAUCUUUCAAUUUAUUUGAUUUGAGCUAGUUAACAGUACUUUGACUUUAAAAUUUAAAUUAACUACUUAUUCAAUAAAUUUAUAGUUAUAAAUAUUGUAUGAAGUCUAUCAACUAAACCUGCAAAGGUACAUGAUGCUUUUAAAUGCUGCAAUCAAAGUGUCUCUAAGUUUUUUGUUUUUUUUUCUUUUGUGAUAGAUAGGUACGUAGCACGCUACCUGCUUCGUUUAUUUCAUUUAGAAAUAAAUUUAGCUGGCAAUGUGAAUCAACUAGGAUUCGAACUCGAGACCUCGAGUAUCAACUACCAAAUUCUUUGCCAUUUGCUCUAGAGACGGUCGGUAAAAUGUCGCUAAGUUACUCAAACAAAUUGAAAUAUAGGUUCCUUGCCUUUUUACCCUCUUUUUAAAGUAAUUUUCUCUAGUAUUUUUUUUUCUUGAGAUUUAAUUAACCAUGUUUAAAAUUAACAAUGCAGGAGUCGCAUUUGGCUUGAUGAAGUAAAUCUCACGGACAAGGUAGAUGCACUUUAAAUGCAGCUACUAUUUAUUCACCAUCUUUUUAGCAUUAAAGCAAUAAAUGAUAAAUCAUUUAUUUCCUUUUAUCUUACAAAUUAAAUUUAAACUACUCGCUUCUAAUUUAUCUACGCGGCAUGAAGAUUGAAUAGUUAAGUAAAUUUUUAUAAUUCCGUGCUUUAAACAUUUUUCUGUAUAAAAAUUUUAAACAAUAUUAAUUCUGCAUUUUAGUUUUGUCUAGAAUUCACGUGCGAGUAUUUAAGUGCUUUUAAUAUUAAAUGAUCUUAUCACGUCACUAUCGCUGUGGUUGAUACAUCACUACAUACUUUCAUCAAAAGUGCUUUUAAUUAUAUACUUUCAUCAAAAGUGCUUUUAAUUCACUAUAUACUUUCAUCAAAAAUGCUUUUAAUAUUAAAUGAUCUUGUCACGUCACUAUUGCUGUCGUUGAUACAUCACUAUAUACUUUCAUCAAAAGUAAACGGAAAUUUUAAUAAAUUAUUUUUUUUUAAGAGAUAGAUAGCACGCUACUCGUUUCGUUUAUUUUAUUUAAAAAUAAAUUUAGAUAGAAAUAUGAAUUAAUUAGUAUUCGAAUUUAAGAUCUUGGAUACUUACCACUAAACUCUUUGUCACUUAUACUAAGAAUGGUUGGUUAAUAUUGUUUUAAUUUUUUUUUUAUACAGAAAAGUACUUGAGAUAUAAGAUAAAGUGUGACAGGAUUUUUAUAAUUAAGUCUAAAUUUUACUAACAAAAUAUUUAUUAUUUUUUUUGUGGGGAAAAAAAACCUUCUGGCACCAUAUAGAGCCUUUCAAGGCAAACUUUUUUUUUUUAUUUUUUUAUUUUGAAAGAGAGAACGGUAGUGUGCUACUCUUUUGUUUAUUUUUUUAAAAAAAUAUUUACUUUUUUUGUGAGGAAAAAAAAAAAAUCUUCUGAUGCCCUAUAGAGCCUCUCUAAGAAUUUUUUUUUUUGAGAGAGGAUGAUAGUAUAUUUUUUACUUCGUUUAUUUCUUUUAAAACUAAAUAUAAUUAAAAAUAUAGGAUAUUUAAAUUUUAAAUAUAAACUAUUAUGCCUUCCUUUAUUUUUAGCUGUAGCCCACACGUUUGUGGGUGCCACAAAAAGUGUGGCUUCAUGUGGAAUUUAUUUAUUAACCACACAUCUGUCAUCUCUAAUACAAGAUUUUUUUUUUUUUUGAAAAUACUUUAAAAACCUCUCUUGUGGUUUCGCACUUUCUCACUUAAGUACGCUGUGGUUUAAAGUGCAUUAAUUUAAUGCCAUGUGGUUUCAUUUUUAUCUUUUUUAUAGCUUUUUUGUUAUUAUUUUAUUAAAUUAUAUACAAAAAUUUCAAAUACCCACAUAGAUUUGUCGAAUAUUCACUUUAGUACCCUUUAAUUUUAACUUUGUCACUGAUUUAAAAAAAAAAAAUAGUGAAAUUGAUAAUAAAAACAUAAAAAUGAAACCACAGGGCACUAAAUUGAUACAUUUUAAACCACAUGGCACUCAAGUGAGAAAGGGCGAAACCACAUGGGGCCUUUUGAAGUUUUCCCUUUUUUUCUUUUUCCCUUUUGUCGCAAUUGUAAUAUUGAAUAGGUAACAGGUUAAUCAUAAGACAUAUUUGAUUUACAGUAUUUUUUAACAUGUUUAAGAAUAAAAUAUUAAAAUUAUAAAAUUUUAUAUUUAUUUUAUCAUAGAAAUCUGAUGCGACAAAAAUUAAAAAUUUUUAUAAAAUUUUAUAAUUUCUUAAACCAUGAGAUUUGAAAACACAUCACCUCUUUUGGUAAAUUUCUUUUGAAAAAACUUAUGCUUAUUCUAAAAUUUUAAAUUGAGGACAAAAGACAAAUAAAUUUAUGAAUUUUCUAAAUUUAGAAAUAUGUAAAUAGAUUUCACAUAUAAUAUAUUAAUAUAUCACUACAACAGAAUUAGGUUAUAGGGACACAUGUUUAGGACACUUUUGUGUAAGUGUCACAUUUAUACCAAAUUUUUUUUAAAAAAUCUACUAAUGCCUAAAUAUAAAACCCAAUCCAACCAAAAAUAAAAGGUUAGUAUACUCAACGCACCCCACCCAGCCCAUUCGGCUUAAUUACAAACAGAAAAGAAAAAAAAAAAUCGAUUACCAUCUUCCCUUCUCCCCUCACUCAAUCCACUGAAAUUCUAGACGAAGAGCCCUUCUCUCUCGUCCUCCUCCGCCACCGCAGCAACAAGGUAGAGUUUCGGCGGUUGCUAAAUGCUUAAAUAAGCAUUGGUAAAUUAGCAGCACUCUUUUAGGUUAUAGCGAUACUCUUUAACUGUCACUAUAUCCCUAGCGACCCCACAUAUAGCAACACUUUUUAAAAGUGUCGGUAAUUUAGUCAGCAGCAUUUUUUUUGACAUGUAUCAACAUUUAAAAGUGUCGCUAUAGACCGUUUUUGUUGUUGUAUAUUAGUCUAUAUAAAAAGAGAGUAUUGCAAACUUUUGGUGGCGAUUUAAGUUCGGAUGAAAAAUUACUUUUUUUUUGUUAUUUAUUUAUAUAGUUGUGAAUUGAAAUUUUUUCGAUUGCUAUUUGUUUGACAUAAAGUGAAUGGCGUAAAAAUUAAAGAUAUAAGAGAUGAACGAAUAUUUUAUAUAUUUUAUUUUUUUAUAAUUGAUUUUGGUCUGGGAUGGGUUAAAGUUAAUUACAAUAUUUUGAAAAGUUUAAGUUUCAACCGAAAAUAAAGUUACAGUAAACCAAUGCAUAUUUUAUGAUCGUAAAUUAUUUCAUCUUUUUAUUUUUGGUAAAACAAACAUACACUUACUUCUAAAAGAAGCUACAUUUACUAUCUAAUGCAAUUGAUUGGUACUCACAAGGCUUACAAAACGUUCGCACAUUCGGACUUACAUCUCAUAAUAAAAAUUAAAUUAUGAGAUGAUAUAAAAGAUUAAUCAUCGUGAUGUAUGAAUAAGUAGAUAUAUUGAGCGCGAACAAUAAUUUAUUUUUUAUUAAUAAUAAAAAAAUUAAAAUAUUUAAAUUUUGCAUAUCAAUAAUUAAAUUUUUUAUACUUGCGUUGGUCGGUAACGGUGGAUCUCUGAAGGCAAAGUUAAUACAUGUCUGUCCUCUUGCCACCCUUUAUUUGUGGGUGCCACAAAAAGUGUGACUUUAUAUUUGUGGCAUUUAUUUAUUUGACCACACAUCUCUCAUCUCUACAAGAUUUUUUUUUCCCUUUUGUGGCAAUUGUAAUAUUGAAUAGAUACCAAAGUUAAUCAUAGGACAUAUUUGAUUUAUAGUAUUUUUUAACAUGUUCAAGAAUAAAAUAUUGAAAUUAUAAAAUUUCAUACUUGUUUGGAAAAACUUCAAAUAGCCCCUUGUGGUUUCGUUCAUUCUCACUUUAGUACCAUGUGGUUUAAAGUGUAUCAAGUUAGUAUCAUGUGGUUUCGUAUUUUCUCACUUUAGUAUCCUGUGCUUUAAAGUGUAUCAAGUUAGUACCCUGUGGUUUCGCACUUUCUCACUUUAGUACCCUGUGGUGUAAUAUUUUAUUAAGAGAAAAAUAAAACCACGGGGUGCUAACUUGAUAUAAAAAUAAAAUCUCAGAGUACUAACUUGAUACACUUUAAACCACAGGGUACUAAAGUGAGAAAGUGCGAAACCAUAGGGUACUAACUUAAUACACUUUCAAUCACAGAGUACUAAAAUAAAAAAGUGCGAAACCAUGCACGGGGAUUUUUGAAGUUUUUCCUACUUAUUUUAUCGCAUAAAUCUGAUGUGACAAAAUUUAAAAAUUUUUAUAAAAUUUUAUCAUGUCUUAAACCGUGAGAUUUGAAAACACAUCAUCACUUUUGGUAAAUUUCUUUUAAAAAAACUUAUGCUUAUUCUAAAAUUUUAAAUUGAGGACAAAAGACAAACAAAUUUAUAAAUUUUCUAAAUUUAGAAAUAUGUAAAUAGAUUUCAUAUAAUAUAUUAAUAUGUUAGUCUAUAUAAAAAGAGAGUAUUGCAAACUUUUAGUGGUAAUUUAAGUUCGGAUGAAAUAUUACUUUUCUUUUGUUAUUUAUUUAUAUAGCUGUGAAUUGAAGUUUUUACGGUUGCUAUUUGUUUGCCAGAAAGUGAAUGGCAUAAAAAUUAAAGAAAUACGANAUCAUAAUUAGUACUAGCCCAUUCCAAAACAAAAUCAAUUAUGAAAAAGAAAUAAAAUAAGUAAAAUAUUUAAUUUAUUCAUCUCGUAUUUCUUUUGUUAUUUAUUUAUAUAGCUGUGAAUUGAAGUUUUUACGGUUGCUAUUUGUUUGCCAGAAAGUGAAUGGCAUAAAAAUUAAAGAAAUACGAGAUGAAUAAAUUAAAUAUUUUACUUAUUUUAUUUCUUUUUCAUAAUUGAUUUUGUUUUGGAAUGGGCUAGUACUAAUUAUGAUAUUUUGAGAAGUUUAAGCUUCAACAUAAAAUAAAGUUACAGUAAACUAAAUAAUAAAAGUGCGUAUUUCACGAUCGUAAAUUAUUUCAUCUUUUUAUUUUUGAUGAAACAAAUGUACACUUAAUACUAAAAGAAGCUACGUUUACUAUCUAGUGCAGUUGAUUGUUUACAAAAAAUUCGCACGUUCGAAUUUACAACUCAUAAUAAAAGUUAAAUUAUGAGAUGAAAUAAAAAGUUAAUCAUCAUGGUGUAUGAAUAAGUAGAUAUAUUGAGCUCGAACAGUAAUAUAUCUUUUAUUAAUGAAAAAAAAGUACUGUUACUUAUACAUCUACUUUACAGGUUUGUACCGUACACCCUGGUCUUUGAAAAGCUAGAAUCUUAAAUAUAUCAUAAUAGUUUUUUCUUAAAAAAAUACUAAAAACUCAAAUUAAAAGUUUUUAUAAAUUUUUAAGAUCUACGAGGUGUAAAAGAUAUAAUAAUUUUUAAUUUAUUUACCCUCAAAAAACACUGUUACACACGUGUCAAAACUCAAGAAAAAAUAAAAAACUCAAAAGGUACGGUUAUUAAAACUUUAACCCGUAUACGCGUCACCUCGGAAGUCGUGAACGACCCACAUCUCUCUCUCUCUCUUUUCUUUUUUUUUCUUUUUUUUUUUUUAUUCCUCUCUGCAUUCAAUCCUUACCAUAUCGCUCAGUAAAUUACAAAUUUUCUAAUCUACAAAUUAAAAAUAUAGGGGCAAGUUCAAGUAUAGCCUUUUAAAAUUUUAAAAUAUUAUAAAUACUCCUUCAAAAAUUAAAAUAUUAUUUAUAUCCUUCUAAAUAUAUAAAUCUAUUAUAAAUAUUCUGUCACGCCCCGGAUUACACGUUUUCCGGGCACGCCGAUAAAUCCGCCAUAUACAAAAAAAAUUUCCUUAUAUACGAAGCGAUAGCUGUACCUAUAAAUCAUACAAUAUUACAAACAGUAGUAUAGAGCUGCUAGAAGAAUCAGGAAUAAAACAAACUGAGUGCUAUAGACAUACGCCAAAUUCCAGAUACAAAACUACUCGCACUGGCGAGUUAAACCACAGUAUGUAUAUGAACUCCCACAAAAAUCACUAGCUGCGGCAGGGACACCUCUAGCUCGGCUCGUCGGGUAUGGCUCUAACUCGUGACGCCCUUGCCUCGAUCCUGAUCGGCCUCUGCAAUAAAAAAAGAUAACAACAGGGCGUGAGAACUACUGUAAAACAAGUAGGAUAGUAGUAAAUAUAUGAAUAAAAUCUACCACUAUGAAACACUAUACUAUCAUGCUCUACACUAACCAACUGUAGAAAAUAUCAAAUCUGACCCAAACUAAUCGGGACUGUAAGCAUACCCGUCUCUGGGACUGUGAACACACCCGUCCCUGCCCAGUUGCGACUAUUCAGCUACCUCCACACUAUCUAGUCCGUGGAGAGCAAGUCCAACCGGCAUGAGCGACACCAACGCGAAAGCGCAACGCCUGUCUCCGGAGUGGCACUCGUGGGAGCUACCCAACCGAGUAUGCAGCGUAUUUCUGUCGAGCUCAAUCAGGCUCUACCUCAAGCCAAAAUCCAAGUGACCGACUCUAACUGGUCUAACCACCAAUAGGUCACGUGCCCUCGGCACAAUCCGUCGCCAAAAAGACGAUACGGGUCCACCGUCAACCUCGACGGCACCCAACAGUCCGGAAUAGCCUGAACGCUACUAUAAAAAUGUAUUCGGCAUCCCAGCACGAGCGUAACUGAAAGCUAAACUAGCUGGAAUACUCAUUAUGAGGAUACUGCUACAGUAUAAAAUAAUAUAACGGCCCCUAGGGCUAAAUCAGGUAGUGUAACUUGGGCUGGCAAAUGAGCGAGCCGGCUCGCGUUCGACUCGCGUUCGACUCGAUAUUUGGCUCGCUCGAGCUCGACUCGAAAUUAAAUGAGCCGAGCUUGAAAAAAAAAAAGGCUCGAAAUUCAUUUCAAGCCGAGCUUGAGUAUUACUCAGCUCGUUCGAAUUAGGCUCGAAAAGCUCGAAAAGCUCGAAUAUAUAUAUAUAUAUAUAUAGUAGAGCUACUAUGCUAUCAAAAGUAUAGAGGAUCUGAUACUUUCGAUUUUUUUAUUCUUAGAUCAACCUCUUUAAUCAUUUUUUAUCUUUGGAUUAAUACUAUUAUUAUCUUGUAGGGACCCCUCAAUCCUAGAAAUAUUAUUUAAUCCUAGGGGAGACCGCAAUCAUCCCAACCAUACAAUUCUUAAUCAAAGGGUCAAAAAUUCGAAAAUAUCAAAUCCUCUAUAUUUUCGAUAGCAUAGUAGUUCUACACUAUAUACUAUGAUUAUAUAUAUAUUAUAUUAUAUAUAAUUAUAUAUAUAUUAUAUAUUAAAAAAAUAUAUAAAUAUAUAUAUAUUUUAAUUUAUUAUAGGUUGAGUGAAUAAUCUGAGUUUAGUUAAAAUUGGCCAAUAUUAUUGACAUAUAAAAACAAACCCAAUAGACAAAUAAAAGAGCUGAAAAUUUCAUCUUAAUUUAUAAUUUCUUCUUUCUUUUCUUUCACAGAGCUCUAAAUUUUGUAUGUUUCUAUUUUUCUCUUUUUUAUCUAUCGGCUAAGUGGCCAGUCGCGAAGGCACCCAAUUACCAGUAACAGCAUAUAGCCGGGGCCUACCAACUUGCUAUUAUUUUAUGUUGAGAAAAGUAUACAUAAUAUUUUAAAGUAAAAUCUUUUAUUCUAAAGAAUUUUAAUUUUUAUUGUAUAUUGAUUGGAUAUUUAAUCAAUAUUUAAUACUAUAUAAUUUAUUCUAUUUUUGAUUGCAUAAAUAAAAAUGAAUAUAUGGGAGAUUGAAUGCCGAAAAAAAAAACAUGUGAGUGGAAAAAAUUAGAUAUUCAAACUCAUAAAUUUUUUUUUUUCAUAUUAUAAAUACUAUAUUUAUAUAAUUAUUUUUGUGCUUUAAUAUUAUAGAUAUGUUCUAUACAAUUAAACAUUGCAUUUCGUAUGGAUGUGAGAAUUUCAAGCGGUCGUUAGGCUCGAGCUCGCUCGACUCGAAUUAGCGCUCGCUCUGAGUCGCGCGUCGAAUUAAUUUCAAUCCAAGCUUGAGCUUAAAUUUAGGCUCGAAAUUAAUUUCAAGCCGAAUUUGAGCCGAGGUAAGCUCGCUCGAGCUCGGCUCGUUUCCACCCCUAUGUAACUUAUGACAGGUCCAACUUCUCGAUUUUCUCCUAAUUUAAUUUUCAAGUCCAACAUGUAUAAAUUACUUAAUUUAUUAUCACAUACUCCAAAUUCAGAUUUGCAAUUCACAUAAUAAUCCAUGAAUUCAAGCUAAAGUAACUACACAAAAAUCUGAAAUUUACACAUGUUGACUACUAAGCACUUAGGAGUAUAAGCCGAUGAUUAACCCACCUCGAGAGCUAAUCUCUGGCAGCAAAGAACCCUCUCAGCUGCGGAACAACCUGCUGGAUCGAUCGAAGUCCAACAAAUCCAGAAAUCGAGCUAACUCCAAGCUCUACAAUCCAAAUCCAUCAAUUCUGUCCACGAGUAGCAACAGCAGAGUAAAACGAAGGUUCGACCAAGCUAACCUUCACCAAAUUCUGCAAUUUUGGACUUCAUGGAUUCCUCUCGAAGUCCUGAAUCCAACGAACUAAGUCUCGCUGCAAUCCGACGCUCCUACGUCGCGUACGAGUCAAAACGCCAACGUCGACGCAGAAAAUUUGCGAAACAACAUCCUUGAGCUCGGAAGUGAUAUAGACUUGCCAUGGUUGGAGAAAUUGAUGAACAUCUCACUUAAACAGCGAUUCUAGCACCGGCGCGACAUCAAGAACGGCGAAAACGCACCCUCGCCCAGCCUCCUCGCGAUGCAAUGGCAAUAAACGCGCGCUCGAACGGCUCUGCAACGCGACGUCGGCGACGGAACGACUCCACCCGAGCUCCUCCACCACGCUCGGUCACGCACAAGGAGAGGGGAGAGAGAGAGUGCUGAAGUUCUCUCCUCUCUGCUCUCUCUAUCCUAUAUAGGAAGGAGAAGGAGUGGGUGAAAAUAACGAGGAAAGGAAAGACCAAAAAGCCCCUCACCUAACCUGGCGUAUCGGUACAUGGGCCCACGUACCGGUACUAGAAGCCAACCCGAGAGCAGUCUGCGAGCAGCCAGUGCAGUGUACCGGUACACCAUACUUGUUGUACUGUACAGCAAGCAGAAAAAUAGCUAUUUGCAGAUUUUUCUUGCUAAAUGCUGCUCUCGCGUCGCACAGAGUCCGUUUUGCGUCUAUUUCACGCCAAUGCGACUCAGACUUGUCCCGACACUCUCCAGAACUGUCGACAAGCCUUCACUGCUGAACACUAGGGAUCUCACAUAUUCAUCUAAAUGUUUAAAACCAUUACAAAUAUUUUUCUGAAUUUUAUAGUUUUAGAUAAAUCUUAAAUCUUUUUAUAUAUAUAAAGGCACAAAUAGAAAUACGUACAAAUAGAUCUAGAUUGACGAAAAUUUCAUUCCCAUCAGCCUCGAAUGGUGCGAUAAGCAAAAAUCAAAAAUAAGAAAAAAAAUAAUCCGCUUUGGAUCCGUCCCUGUCCACUAAGAAAUGGAGGGAGACAUUAGGACUCUUUUUUCAUCAGUGAUCUGCGAUCUGUCCCGCACCGUAAAAAAUUAUCAAUAAUAUAUUAGCUGUCAUCUCGACUCAGUCCCAAAUGAAGCAAUAUAUAGGGACAAAAAAAUAGUAUCAAAUUUAAUUCAUCCUUGCAUUUCUAGUCACGAAUAAUAUUUUACACUUCUAAAAAAUAUUUAUAAAAUUAUCAUUUGCGGAAAAGGUAUUAAAAAAAAUUAAUCCAAAAAAAUAUAAAAUAUCGGUGGUGGAAAAUCUGACCUAAUAGGGCACCUCGAAGUUACAACCACAGUUUGAGAUCUAGUGGACAAAUCGAGCACUUUCUGUCUCCUCGUAAACUGUGAAAGUAAAUAAUAAUAAUAUAAUAAUAAUAAUAGUAAUAAUAAUAGUCUACUAUUUACACUUUGUAAGUGCGCAUAUAUUCUGUAACUCCGUGAGCAAAAUUUUUUGUAAGAACUUUAAUUCAUUAGGAGCAGAUUCAAUUCAAGCUACAGUUUAAAUUAAUAUCAUGUACAGAAAAAUUAUACGGACAUAUUUAUAGAGAGACUGUGCCAUAACCAUUGACAUUAUUUAGCACAUAAAGCUCAUCAACACACAGAUUUAUAGCGUAAUAUAUGUAGAAGACUUAAAUUUUAAGAAGAUUAUUGUAAUUCUUAUAUAGGGAUAAAACUUGCAUAUGACAGCAAAUCGGGAACUCCUCAAGAUGGUUUUAUUGGAAUGCGCGGAGUUCAAGUUUGAAUGAGGAGAAAUGCAAAUGGAUCUAUAUAGGUUGGUCGAGAUCCCAUUCUGAUUCGCCCUGAAUUAAUUAUGCAGUAAGUGAUCGGGAACCAAAAAUAAGAAAAAAGUACCGUUAUAAAUCCGACUCGAUCAGUUAAGAAAUGGAAUGGGAGGCAUGGAACAUUUUCCUUUCUUUGAUGCGUCUUCAUCUGUUAUUAAAAAUCGUCAAAAAUUCGCUGCAUUUCCAAUUGCCCGAAACGAAAUGAUAAGGACAAAAAAUAAUAUAAAAAUAAAAUUGCUCUGACCAGCCAAAAAAAUUGGGAUUGAAGAUCGGAUGUCUGCUUCAGCCAUGGAUCCGCUCCGUUUGUAUCCCUCAUCACUAAUGAUAUUUUACACUUUUAAAAAUUUAUUUACGAAAUUACGCCUUUUGAACAAAAAGCUAUCUCACAAAAACACACUCAAUCACAAAAAAAUGUCAAAAAUAUCAGGAUGGGUCAGCGAAUUGAACACCCAAGAGGCCACCUCAAACUCUACAAGUGAAACGCCAAUACUCUCUACUUUCAUCUCUCCUCGAUAACGUGUGAAGCUAGAAUAAAUUUAGGGAUAGAUCUUUGACAAUGCUAAACAUAUGGGAAGUCUCAUAAUUUAUAGAGCUUCCCAGUGCAACAAUUAAGAAGAUUCUUAAAGAAGAGAAAUGAUGUUAAUGAAAAAUGUAAGUUAUCCCACUAGGGAACUAAAAAUUGAUACGGUAAUGUACUUGUAAUGGGUUACUAUUUUAAAAACAGGGCAAUAAAUGGCCAAAUUAAAAUUAAAUUACAAUAAAUAAAUAUAAUUACUAUAUAAUAUAAACUAUAUAUAUCUAUAUAAUAAUAAUAAAUAAUAAUAUAUAAUCUUAUAUUUUAUAGAAUCUAGGCAUGGAAAUAUAAAUUACAUAAGAUAAAAAUGCGUUUUUGCUUCAAGUUUUUUAAUUAUUGGUAUGAAAAAAAUUGUAACAGAAGGUAAAACGAUAUUAUAAGCUCGGUUUAGAAUUGAAGAUGGAUAGAACAUAACUUAAAAGAAACAAUUGAGUGAGUCCACUGGGAUUAAUAAGUAAAUUUAAAUCAAAGAUAAGUAUAAAAAGAAAAUAAUGAAAAGAGUUGACAAAAGAGCAAAAAACUCGUAGCAAAAUGAAAUUAUUUAGCAAUUACUAAUAGAUAAGCCAAGUUCAACCAGAACUAUAAUACUAAAACAAUAUAAAUACAUAUAACUACCUCACUCACUAUUAAUAUUAUACUUAAUUAUAUAUAAUAUCGAAAGCUUUCAGAAGCUCAAUUUCGGAAAGACUGAUAUACAAACACUGAAGACCGACAAACAUAUAACUCAGUACUGGCUGGGAAAAUGAAAUUUAAGACGUGAACCCUUCUAUUAAUCUAUUGUACUCAAACCAUCCGGUUCAUUAUAUUCGACCACAUAAAACACCACACAAAAACCUCAUCCAAAACCCGCCCCCAACUCUGUGAACUCAGAGCGAGCAACCCGAACACUAUAACGAGAAACCCCCCACCAGAAACGAAGGGGAGUCGAAACUGACGAGAAGCCGCGACUCGCUGCCUCCUCUGCAAGCGCACCUUAAUCGGAUUGGAAUGCGAAUAAGCAAAAAUCAAAAAUAAGAAAAAAAAAUAAUCCGCUUUGGAUCCGUCCCUGUCCACUAAGAAAUGGAGGGAGACAUAAGACUCUUUUUUCAUCACUGAUCUGUCCCGCACCGUAAAAAGUUAUCAUUAGCUGUCAUCUCGACUCAGUCCCAAAUGAAACAAUAUAUAGGGACAAAAAAAUAGAUAAAAUUUAAUUCAUCCUUGCAUUUCUAGUCACCAAUAAUAUUUUACACUUCUAAAAAAUAUUUAUAAAAUUAUCAUUUUCGGAAAAGGUGUUAAAAAAAAUUAAUCCAAAAAAAUAUAAAAUGUCGGUGGUGGAAAAUCUGACCUAAUAGGGCACCUCGAAGUUACAACCACAGUUUGAGAUCUAGUGGACAAAUCUCGCACUUUCUAUCUCCUCGUAAACUGUGAAAGUAAAUAAUAAUAAUAAUAUAAUAAUAAUAGUCUACUAUUCACACUUUGUAAGUGCGCAUAUAUUCUGUAACUCCGUGAGCAAAAUUUUUUAUAAAAACUUUAAUUCAUUGGGAGCAGAUUCAAUUCAAGCUACAGUUUAAAUUAAUAUCAUGUACAGAAAAAUUAUGUGGACAUAUUUGUAGAGAGACUGUGCCAUAACCAUUGACAUUAUUUAGUACAUAAAGCUCAUCAACACACAAAUUUAUAGCGUAAUAUAUGUAGAAGACUUAAAUUUUAAGAAGAUGAUUAUAAUUCUUAUAUAGGGAUAAAAAUCGCAUAUACACUACAACAAAAACGGUCUAUAGCGACACUUUUAAAUAUCGAUAAAGGUAAAAAAAAAGUGCUCCUAGCUAAAUUACCGACGCUUUUAAAAAGUGUUGCUAUAUGUGGGGUCGCUAGGUAUAUAGUGACAAUUAAAGAGUGUCCUAUAACCUAAAAAAGUGCUGCUAAUUUACCAACACUUAUUUAAGCAUUUAACAACUGCCGGAACUCUACCUUGUUAGUUGCGGUGGCGGAGGAGGACGAGAGGGAAGGGCUCUUUGUUUAAGAUUUCAGUGAAUUGAGUGAGGGAAGAAGGAGAGAUGGUAAUCAAUUUUUCUUUUUUUUUAUUUCUAUUUAUAAUUGGGCCGAAUGGACUGGGUGAGGUGGGUUGAGUAGAAUAACCUUCUAUUUUUUAUUAGAUUGAGCUUUAUAUUUAGGCAUUAGUAGAUUUCUUUUUAAAUUUUUUAUAGGGUGGUCGAGAUCCCAUUCUGAUUCGCCCCAAAUUAAUUAUGCGGUAAGUGAUCGAGAACCAAAAGUAAGAAAAAAGUACCCCUAUAAAUCCGACUCGGUCCGUUAAGAAAUGGAACGGGAGGCAUGAAACAUUUUCCUUUUUUUGAUGCGUCUUCAUCUGUUAAAAAUCGUCAAAAAUUCGCUGCCUUUCCGAUUGCCCGAAACGAAGUGAUAAGGACAAAAAAUAAUAUAAAAAUAAAAUUACUCUGACCAGCCAAAAAAAAAAUGGGAUUGAAGGUCGGAUGUCUGCUUCAGCCAUGGAUCCGCUCCGUUUGUAUCCCUCGUCACUAAUGAUAUUUUACACUUUUAAAAAUUUAUUUACGAAAUUACGCCUUUUGAACAAAGGUAUUAAAAAAAAUUAAUCCAAAAAAUGUAAAAUAUCGGUGGUCCAGAGAGUGACCACACAGGGCACCUCCAAGUUACAGUGAACGAAUCUCUCUCUUUCUCUCUCCUCGUAAACUGUGAAAGCUAGAAUACUAAUAAUAAAAUAAUGAUAAUAGUGUCAACUAUUCACACAUGUUCUCCAACUCCCUGAACAAAAUUUUUUAUAUAAACUUCAACUCAUCGGGGCCGUAAUCAAUUGAAACUACAGUUUAAAUCAAUAUUAUGCAUAGAAAAAUUAUAUACGCAUAUUUGUAGAGAGACUGUGCCAUGCCAUUGACAUUAUUUGGGUAAACAAAGAUCAUCAACACUUAAGAUUUACAAGGUAACAUUUGUAGAAGACUAAUUUAGGCAAGAGACUACGAGUAUAGGAACAAAACUUCUACCAAAAUCUAAAUAAUUUUUUAAAAUUUAUGGAGAAGAUUAUAAUAUUUAAAUAAAGGCAAAACUUACACAUGGCAGCGAAUAAAUAAUUUUUUAAAAUUUAAGGAGAAAAUUAUAAUAUUUAAAUAGAGGCAAAACUUACACAUGGCAGCGAAUCGGCACUCCUCAAGAAGAUUUUAUUGGAAUGUGCAAAGUUCAAGUUCGAAUGAGGAGACUUUAGACUACAGUAUGAGAAAUACUAAGCGUACAACCAAAGAAGAAAAGAUACCUUUUCGAUUGAAGGUAUUAUAGAACUAAAAUCCAAAAUUUGUUGUAUAUCAUCAGCACUCGAUCGUAAUAAUACUGAAAAAAUACUAGUUCAAAAAACAAGUAGAAAAUACUAUCAAUCCGAUUGCGCGCAUUGAUACAAUUAAUGAAGUGCAAUGCUAUAUUUACACCCCUAAACUAGUCCUAAAAUUUACAUACAUUUAAUUCACCCAAAGAUUCAUAUUCAUCCUCUAAUCUUAUAAACCUUUCCUUUUUACUAAAAUCCAAUUUUUUUUAAUAAAUUCUUGGCUGUGAAGGGUGCAGCAUUUCCCUACAAAUGAAGUCGAUCUUAAUAAUAUUAGAAAAAAAAAAAAAAUUGAUGUAGGUGGUUCCAAAGGGGUGAGUUGUUUUAAAAUUCAUAUCAUCUACGUAAUAGACAAAGAAUUAAUGAAACAAAGAGCCAGUGGCCACUUAUUUCCACACGUUAAAUCACAUAAACAGCGAUAGAUGGGUAGCCAUUUUGUACGUACGUAGCAGCAGUGAAAGGAGCCGAGAGAUUUAAAAAAAAAGAAAAAAGAAAAAAAAGAAAACCCUAAUAAGUUCACAAAGUUGAUACAUAUAUCUCCUCGCUCCUCUUGCUCUUCUUCUUCUUCUUCUUCUUGUUUAUUAUUGCCAUCAAUGUACGUAAUUCACUUAGCCCAUGAUUUAUGCGGCACGGCGAGCACUCGGAGCGGGACGGCCUUGCGCAGCGAGAUGGUCACGCGCUCGCUCAUGUCGAGCCGCGUCGGAUCGGCUCCGCACGGCAGCUGCCAGUCGAAGGCGUAGAGCAGCGAGCCGAUGACGAGAGGGAGCAGCCGCGACACCAGCGGUAUCGCCGGGCAUUUCCGCCGCCCCGACCCGAACGGCAGGAACUCGUAGUGGUGGCCCUUGUAGUCGGCGGCGGCGGGGUUCUCCGGCGCGAAGCGGGCCGGGUCGAACACCUCGGGCUCGGGCCACGUCGACGGGUCGCGGCCGAGCGCCCACACGUUGACGAAGACCUGCGUGUCGCAGGGGAUGCCGUGGCCGAGGAGGGUGCAGGGCUUGAGGGACUUGUGCGGCACGAGGAAGGGGAGGGGAGGGUGCAGCCUCAGGGUUUCGUUGAUCACGCCCUUGAGGUAGGGGAGGUUGAUCACGUCCUUCUCCUCCAGGUACUCCUUGCUCGCCGCGAUGUUCUCGCGCACCUCCGCUUGCGCCUUCUUCAUCACCUCCGGGUGCUUGAUCAGCUCCGCCAUCGCCCACUCCAUCGUCCCCGCCGUCGUGUCGAUCCCCGCGAUGAAUAUUUCCUACCAACAAAAUUAAUUUACCAAAACAAAAAAAAAAAAAAAAAGAAGAACGAAGAAGAGAACAAAUUAAUUCAGAUUCAGCUACGUACACUCGAUGACAGGGUAUAUAUAUUAAGUUGAAAUCAAUUUUUUUUUUUUUUUUUUUUUUUUUUCUGAAAUCAGUAUCAAGGUUUUGGGACCUUAAUAUGUAUAUAUAUGGAAAGUGGCAGCUACUCAACGGCAUUAAUUAUUCUUUCCUUUUUUGGAGAUUCAGAACGAUGCAAACCCCAAGCACCAAACAAACUCAUCCCCUUUCCCCUUUAAUUAAAUGUUGUACCUUUUCCCUUUAAUUAAAUGUUGUACCCUCCUAUAGUCCUAUGGUCCAUCGAGUAUGUACACAAUGUAAGUACACACAGCCUUCGUAGUUGUGUACUUCACUACAAAGAUAGAUAGAUAGAUAGAUAUGUGCAAUGCAUUUCCAAUGGAAUAACAAUAUUGUCCGUAGCUAGUGUGAAGAUAUAUAUACAGAUCUAGAGAAAGUAAUUAGUAGUAAUAAUUAAUUAAGGAGUAGAGUAGAGUAGUAGAUAGUACGUACGUACUAGCUAAAACUACUUACCACCACCACCUUGACGAUGGUGUCGAAGGGCAACUUCUUGGGCUCCUCGACGCCGUCCCCUUCGAAAUCCAGCAACACGUCGAGCAAGUCCUUCUUCUUGUCGUCGCCGCUGCCCUCCUUGUCGCGUCUUUGGAUCCUCUCGUUGAGGAACCCCGCGACGAUCUCCAGCGCCCGCCGGAUGUGGCCCUCCAUCCCGCGCCUGAUCCCCUGCGGGUCGAGCCGCCGCAGCGCCGGGACGAAGUCGGCGACGUUGGGCCGGCCGACGAUCUCCAUUAUCCGGCCCGCGUGGUGGAAGAACUCGUUGCCUUCCUUGGAGUCCAGCAGGUCGCGCGACAGCACGAGGUUGCCGGUGUGGUUGAAGGCCGUCAGGAAGAGCAGGCGGCCGAGGUCGACGACGCCGCCGCGCCCGGAGCCGCCCGCGUCGUCCGCCCGCCGCAGCAGCCCCGCCACGCACCGCGACCGCACGCCCUGCAGCGCGUCGAGGCGCGCCGCGGCGAAGAAGCCCGUCGUGCAGAGCCGGCGCAGCAUGCGCCACUCCGCGCCGGGCUGCGCCGUGAUGAUGGACCCCUCGUUGGCGCGCUCGUAGCGCAUCGACUCGUACACCAUGCGCCCCGCCAGCGCCGCGUCGUGCUCCUUGUACAUCUCGCGCGCCGCCGCCGCCGACGACACCACCACCGUCGUCAUCGCGCCUAAGUGCACCGUCACCACGGGGCCGUAGCGCCGGGCCAGCCGGGCCAGCGACUUGUGCGGGAGCGAGCCCAGCUGGUGGAGGUUGCCGAUCAGCGGAAGCGGCGUCGGGCCCGGGGGGAGCGGCUGCGAUGCCGCCGCCGCCUUCGGAUUAAGGCGGCGCUGAUACGCCACGAGUACUAGGGCCAGUAAGGUGAGGAGGAGAGGGAGCACAAGGCUCAGGAUCACCAUUUCCGACCUCUCCAUUUAUGUCACAACCUCUCCUCUCUCUCUCUCUCUCUCUCUCUCUCUCUCUCUCUCUCUCACCCUAGCCUCACAGUCUCUCUUGUUUAUGUGGCCAUAUGAGGAAUGGAGAGGAUCUAUAUAUUGAGCUCAGGGCCGGGCUCAUGUGCAACAUGUGUGGUAAUUAUGGUGGAAAAAUCUAGCUUGGGGUGGGGUAGUUCAAAAUACUAAUUACGGGGAAAUUGCUUUUAUAUAUAUAUAUUCCGAAAAAUUUUAACUUUUUUAUGUACUCAUUUUAGAAAGUUAAUACUAAUAAAAGUAUUCUUUUAAAAUUUUUAAAAUAUUUCAAAUAUUUCCUUCGAGUUAAAUUUUGAUAAUAAACUUUUAGAAACAGUAAUUUUUUCUGUAAAAUUAUUAUUUUAUUCUUUUAAAUAUAUUCUUUAAUCGUUAUUCCUAUUUUUUUAUUUGUAUUCUUUAAUCGUUAUUCAUAUAUUUUAUUCAUACUUAAGUUAGGAGCAAAAAAAAGCAUUUUAUUUUUUCGCCUUUUCAUAUAUACAAUUGUGCUGUCACCAACUUUACUUAUUUGUUUUUAAGUUAGGACCAAAAUAUGUAUUUUUAUUAUAUUUUCAUUAUGGUAAAAAUUUAAUUUAUGUGUAUUCCAAGAUAAUCUAACAGGUACUAAUAAUAAAGUUAUUUUGAAAUGAUGGAUAAAUAUACGAGAGAUAUAUUUGAAAUAAAUAUAGGAUAACUAAAAUAUUUUAGAGAUUUUGAGGGUUAUAUGGGUGAUUAUUCCAAAUACUUAAAAUAAUGGUGCAAGAAUUGGAGAAAUGGGAGAGACAUGGCAUGUUCUCGAUCUUGAUGUAUUUGUUCAUAUAUAGAUUUCUAUUUAAUUAAUAACCUCUAUUUAUUAACUUGCUUUGUACUAUUUAUUUAUUUAUUAGGGACAUGCAGUUUCAAAGGUGAUGGUCUAAAAACUUUAAAACUUUUAUAAAAGCUGCAUCAAAAUUUUAAAAUAUCACAUGUAGGAGUACCGUUCUAAAUAUAUGAAAUGAUCAUAAACAUUCCUGCCAUCAAUUUUCUUUAAGUUUAUUUCGAUUAAUAUAAGCGUACUAAAAUACUCAUUAAGUUAAUAAAAUAUUGUAGGGUAAAAUAUUUAUACAUGUGGGUUUUUUUUUUUUUUAUAUAUAACAGAUUUUAAUUUUACAACUUAUAAUAUAUAUGAUUUUGAAAAUGUCAUAUUAAAUGCGUGAUGUACCAUUUUUAUUUGAUUAUUUUUUUUUUCUAAAAACAAAUUGUUAAAAUUAUGAAAAUUGAUUUCAUGGUGACAUAUAUAUACUCUUAUAUGAUUAUAGUAGCCCUACUCUCUCUCUCUAUAGUAGGGUUACUGCACUCUUACGAGUACGGAGCUUUUUGUACUCAUAAGUUGUUUUCAAUAAUAGAGCUUUUAAAUUAACGAUUCAUAUCAUUUAGUAUGAUCUAGAAUAUUUGAAAUUUUUAGAAAAUAAAUUUUGUAAAUUUUUCAAAUUUCAAAAUUUUUAGUAUGGUUCACCCAAAUAAAACAUUUAUUAUCAUAGCAAGUAAUGAGAUUUCUCUUUUUUUUUAAGGCUAAAUUAUAGAAAACUAUUUUAUAAAUAUAUUUUUUUAACUUUCAAAAAAUUACAUUUUAUCUAUCAACAUUUCAAGUUGUUGCAUUUGGCCCCUCCUCCGUUAGGAUUCUAUCAUCAUUCCGUCUAUUUCUUAUAAUUUAUACCGAAAAUAUAUCUUACAAAAUAACAAAAAUAUACUAAAAAGUUAUUUUUUUAUUUGUAAAAGAAGUAAGGACUUUGGUUAUUUGUCAUCUUCAUUAGUACAGUAAAUUUUUAAAAAUAUUUCUAAAAUUUUAAAAAGAUAAAAUAUAAAUUUUAAAAUUUUUAAAAAAUAAAAAAUAAAUAUUUAUACAAAAAUUUUCUGUAAUUUAGGCCUUUUUUUUAAAGUAAAAGGGGAUUUCUCUGGAUACAUAUGCAAAACGAGAGGAAAGGACGAAAAAAAGCGAAAAAAAGAAAAGAAAAAAGAAGGUUUAUGUGUACGUGUCAGUUCAACUUAGGGCCCGCUUUGUUUUGAUGUAAGUGGAGUGAUGGAACUCAAGUUCCAUCACUUCUAUUAUUUAUUUUGGUGUACGUGAAAAAUAUAAUGUAACUCAAGUUACGUUAGAGUUCCACUUCACCUGCUCUCGACUUCCUCCUCUAAAGUGCCGAACUCGACUUCCACCACACUCAACCUCCUCUAAAAAAUUAAUUAAACAGUAAAAUCUAAACUCUAUUUCCUUUAUAAUGGAUUAGAAUUACCUUAUUUAUAAUAAAUUAGGAUUACCUUUAAAUAAUAAUAAAAAAUUGAAUUAUAUAAUAUGUUAAAUUUUAUAGUGGUAAAUUUACUACUCUAUUUAAUUAAGAGAUAAUAUGAUCCACUUACUUACAUCAAAACAAACAACGGAACUCAAAAAACUAAUUUAUCAGCACCAAGUUACAUCAAAACAAACAGAAGAAGUAAUUGAAUUUAACUUUCAGACUGUAUGAGUUACAUCAAAAUAAACAACAAAAAAAUAAUCACACUUCAGAAAAACUCAAACAUCACUACACUCGACUUAUAUUGGAUCUACAGAUUCGUCAAUCCAAACGCUCCCUUAGUUUAUUGCCUCAUUUUUUGGACGUAUUUCCAUGCACGCACGUGAUCACUCCGUACUUAGAUGCAACGCCACUGAAAUUUGAACAAUAUAUGUUAAUGCUAGUGGAAUCUACAACCCAAGAUGGGUUGUACCAGUAGCACUACUCUAAUGCUAUUUCCCUACAGCAUGUUUUAUAUAUAUAUAUAUAUAUAGCACCUGAAUCAGCUCUAAGCAACUUUUUGUUAUUCUCAUAUGUAUUAUUUAACUAGUAAAAGUACCCACGCUUAUCAAGGAUCGAUUCCGUAAAUAAAAAUAAUAAAUAAAAUUAAAAAAUAAAAAAAUAAAAAAAGAGUAAAAAAGAUAUAAUUAAAGAAAACUUAAGAAGAAGCAACAGUUAUUAUAAUAAAAAUAUUAAAGCGUCAUGUGCCCUGUAGCUUGAGCAAGAAAAUGUAACACAUUAACAUUUGAGAACUAAAGCGUUACGUGUCUUAUAGUUUGAAAUAAAAAACGUAGUUUAUUCUUUUUAUAUAUUAAUUUUAUUUCAGACGAAGACAGAACUCUGCACGAUAUGUUAUACCAUCUAAUAAAUUUUAGAAUAUCUAAUUGUUAAAAUUAAAAAUCGAUUAAUUAUAUUUUGGAUAUUACAAGAAUGUGAAAUUGAUCGCUCAUCAGAUUAUAACUAUGGUAUUGAAAUUUGAUAUGAAAAUCAAAGUAAAAACGUACAGAACUUUUUAGAACUAUAUAUAAACUAUUUUGAAUUAGAUAGGUAUCCAACCUUUCAAAAUUUUAUUUCUACUAUCCAAUUUUUCUAAAUGUUAAAUUUAAGUCAAAAUUUAAAUCUAUCGUUUAGCUUACAAAUUUAGUUAAUAUACUUCGUGUGAUUUUCGCAACUAAAUUUAUUAAAUUAAAUAUUAACUUAAACUUUAUCGAUCUCUUUUUCAUUAUUUAUUGUACAAUUUAUAUUUAAGUGAUCAAUAUUAUAAAAUUAAAAUUAUGUUUAAUAUAUAUAAUCUAUAUUAUUUAAAAAUUAUGUGUAAAAAAUUAUAUAUUUUAAAUUUUUACAAUAAAAAAGAGGAGAUUUAGAUUGAAUUUAGAAAAAAAAUUUAAUUCCUUUAGUCCUAAUUAGUAUACUGCGGAGAGACAAAAAAAAAACAAAAAAACAAAAAAAGCUGGCCCAACACGUACCCCCUCCCCGUGAGCUCUCCGUACUUAGUAGUCACGUGGACCUUAAAAUAAUUGAGAAUUCAUAUAAUUGAAUAGAUACUGUGUAUAGAGAGAGGAUGAGAUAAUUUGUUAUCUGUUUUGUUCAUAUUUUUUUAGGAAUAAUUGCUUAUAUACUUUUCAUAUGUUUAAAAUAUCCGAUUUAUUCGUACAUUUUUUUUUUCUAAAAUACCUCUCAUAUGUUCCAUCAUUAUAGCAAAAUACCCCUGUAGUUAUCUCCUGUUAAGUUAGCUUGGGUUAAACGUGAAUUAGAUAUCUACUACAGUUAAAAAAAAUUAAAAUACCAAUUUUGCCCUUAACUUAAUGGCAAAUUAGAAAUGUUGGUGAUAGUAGAGGAGUAUAUUGGAAAAGACCAAAAGUCAAAAUACUUUUUGUGCUCUUGACUUUCAGGGCAAAUAAGAAAGUCAGUGAUUAUGGAGAGGUAUAUUUGAAAGGGCAAAAUAGUAAUUUUACAGAGAUAAUAGGGUUAAUUAAUAGAUUUUAACUCUAGAGGUAUAUUGAAAAUAGGUUGUAAUAUAAAAAAGAUAUUUUUAGUAUUAGCCUUCUAAGAAGGAUAAAUCGAAAAAUGAAAAAUUUUUCAGAAAUAUAUAAAAAAUUAUUCCUACUUUUGAAUGAACUAGAAAUAUGAAGUAAUAAGGUUUUUGAAUUUGGUAUCUUGUCUUGUCUUGAGCAUUAAUGGUUGGUUCCUACUACACAGUAGGUGCGUGUAGUUGGUUCCUGCUACACAGUUGGUGCAAUUGAACUGUAUAAUUCACCUGAUUCAUGAGUGGGAUAUUAAAAUUAUAUAUAUCUCCGCUAUUUUUUAGUUAGAUUGAUUUGGUCAUCAGCAAUAUAUUAUGUACAUUUGUAACGUUCACAUGGGAGCAGUAGCUAUAAGAAAUUUCAAUAUAAGGACGUUUUUUAGACGACGUUUGGAUCGAGGAAGCGUCCCUAAGCUAGCGUUCUUACAAUAUAACAAACAGGGGUGGAGCUAUUGAGGGGCUGAGGGGGGCCAUGGCCCCCCCCCCAACAUUUUUAUAAUUUACAUACUAGUCCUUUAUAUAUAAGUAAUUUUAAAAUAAAAAUUUAUUUAAUUUUAAAUGUAUGAUGAGUAAUCUGUUUUUUUUUUUUUUAAAAAUUGAUGCUAAUAUAAUACUCUCUCAACUUUGAGUUUAUUUUUAUUUUUUAUUUAGUACCUUCAUAAUUUCUAAUUAUUUUAGAUAAUUUUUUAUUUAAUUAAAUUAAAGGUUAUAUUAAAGUUAAUAGCUCUGUUAACUAAUAGUUAUUUAUCGUCACAAUUAUAUUUAGUAAAAAUUAAGAAAUUAAAUCAUUCACUGAAUUACUAUUAGAUUUAGUAAAUUUCAAAAUUAUUUGAGUGAAAUAAUAUAAAUAAAAUAAUUAAAAGUUAAGUAUAAAUAAAAAAGAGGUAAUGCCAUUUUACACUAAUUAUUUAGUCAAUAUAUUUUCUCAUCAAAAAUUUAACUAGGUAAACCAUGUUUGUUUGCUAAAGUUUUGAUUUGUAUGUAUUUUGGCCCCCCUCAUAAUCGAAUGCUAGUUUCGUCCCUGAUAACAAAUAUCGACGUUUCAAAAGGCGUAAACCAAUUUACUAAAUGAUAAACUUUAUUAUUAAAUUUUAACUUUUCAAUUAUUCAAAGUGUCAGGAUUUUAAAAAAAUUCUGACGUUUUAAAGCAUCGGAAUAUAUUUUACCGAUGCUUGGCACAAAAUCGAGCCGGUAUACACGUGGCAACUAUUCAUUUACUGAUGCUUUAAUCGACGUUUUCAAAUGCGGUGCUCAACUGUAUAAUGAGGCUUUUAAGCACCGUUAAAUAAUAAUAAAAAAAAGCGUCUUUAACUAUCGACUCCUAAUUAAUUCACUUUUCUAACUAAGUUUAUUUCUAACUAAGUUCGAAUCCUAAUUAAUUCACAUUUCUAACUAAAUUUAUUUCUAAAUAAAAUAAAACGAGGCGGAUAGCGUGCUACCUAUCUCUAAAAAAAAAAAAAAAAAAAAAGAAAAGUGGGUAUAAUAUAGAUUCCAAAAGUGAUUGCCGCAUCUUAUUGUAAACUUAGAAUUUUUUUUUUUUGGGAUCAAAAUAAACAAGUAACUAGGUGGCCUAAAACUUAAAAAAUACUUACUUCUCAAGAUGAGUUAUUAAAUUAAACCACGCGGUACUAAGAAAUUGCACAAUUACAACCACGAAGAAUCAUGGACAUUGUGGAGAUUACAUUAGGCACAAAAUUAAGAACGUUUCAAAGAAAAAAGAAAAGCUUUAAACAAAUGAUAAUUUGAAACGUUAGGUCUUAAUUUAUAUCGUAUCAUUAUCAUCUUUGUUUAGUUUUUAUACAUAAACGAGUAAGGGUAGUAGAUAAUUGCUACUGUACUAUAUAUAUAUUUAUACAUAUUUAUCAUAUUACUUUGGGGAGAGAAAAACUUAUUUGCUGUUUCUUUCUCCGAUUAUUUACCUUUUUUACAAAGGAAAUUAACUAGAAUGCACAAAAAUAAAUGGCAAUAAUGAGGUUUGAUCACUAGCAUGUUAAUCAACUGCAUUCAAAAAUAUUUUUUUAAAAAUAAAAAUAAAUAGUAAUGAUACCAAAUGUGGCCUCAAUCUCUAUCAUCAUUACAUUACACCGAGCGAAAGCUAUCGUAUUUGCAAAACACUACAACAAAAACAGUUUAUAGCAACACUUUUAAAUAUAGGUAUAGGUCAAAAAAGUGUUGCUAGCUAAAAUUAUCGACACUUUUAAAAAGUGUUGCUAUAUGUGGGGUCGCUAGGUAUAUAGUGACAGUUAAAGAGUGUCGCUAUAACCUAAAAGAGUGCUGCUAAUUUACCAACACUUAUUUAAGCAUUUAGUAACCGCCAAAACUCUAUCUCGUUGGCUGCGUUGGUGGAGAAGGACGACAGUAAAGACUCUUCGUCUAGAAUUUCAGUGAAUUGAGUGAAGAGAGAAGAAAAGAUGGUAAUUGAUUUUUUUUUUUUUCUUUUCUGUUUGUAAUCGGGUCAAAUGGACUGGGUGUGGUGGGUUGAGUAGAGUAAUCUUUUAUUUUGGGUUGGAUUGGGCUUUAUAUUUAGGCAUUAGUAGAUAUGUUUUUAAAUUUUAGUAUAAAUGGAACACUUACUCAAAAGUAUCCCAAACAUGUGUCCCUAUAACAUAAUUCUAUUAUAGUGAAAUAUUAUUUAGGCAUGUAUAAAAUUAUUCUAUAAAUUUG